ACUGAUGAGCCCACCUGAGGUCAAUUGCCCUCUAACUGGCUCUCUCCCCUUCCCUCGGGGAAUGAAGACUGCCACCAUGCUGUCUGCUGCACACUCUGGGGUGUCCUCCAGGACCUUGCUUCAGCCAUGUUUGGACUCAAUGAGGGCUGAAAAUCCUCAACAGAAACUCUCCAGUAAUCAAGCAGCACCCGGCAACAAAUGAGCCCUGGCCCUAGAAGUGGUGACAACUCGCCUCAGAUUCUUGCCCUAUAUCCUGUGGUUCCACCUACACUCAAAUGGAUUCUCUGUACUUAGGAACUUUAUCAACCCUCUAUGAAUUACUUUAAUUUUAGUAUGCCACGUGCUUCCUGACAAGAGAAGGUAAAACCGACAGCAGCAAAGCUUUGUUGAAUAAAGUAUCCUCAAACAACA